rnacentral:rRNA from 1 species
AACUCCGGUUGGGCAUUGGAUACUGGCAAGCUAGAGUGCAGAAGAGGCAAGGGGAAUUCCUAGUGUAGCGGUGAAAUGCGUAGAUAUUAGGAGGAACACCGGUGGCGUAAGCGCCUUGCUGGUCUGCUACUGACGCUGAGGAACGAAAGCCAGGGGAGCAAAUGGGAUUAGAUACCCCAGUAGUCCUGGCCGUAAACGAUGGAUACUAGGUGUUGCAGGUAUCGACCCCUGCAGUGCUGCAGCUAACGCAAUAAGUAUCCCGCCUGGGGAGUACGCACGCAAGUGUGAAACUCAAAGGAAUUGACGGGGACCCGCACAAGCGGUGGAACAUGUGGUUUAAUUCGAAGCAACGCGAAGAACCUUACCAGGGCUUGACAUCCCAAGAACUUUCCAGAGAUGGAUUGGUGCCCUUCGGGGAACUUGGUGACAGGUGGUGCACGGUUGUCGUCAGCUCGUGUCGUGAGAUGUUGGGUUAAGUCCCGCAACGAGCGCAACCCACGUUGUUAGUUGCCUGUAAAAACCUGUUUUGCAGUGCUCUCUAGCGAGACUGCCGGUGAUAAACCGGAGGAAGGUGUGGACGACGUCAAAUCAUCAUGCCCCUUAUGUCCUGGGCUACACACGUGUUACAAUGGGUAGGACAGCGAGCAGCCAAUCAGCAAUGAUGAGCAAAUCUCUUAAACCUACUCUCAGUUCGGAUCGUAGUCUGCAACUCGACUACGGAAGUCGGAAUCGCU